rnacentral:rRNA from 1 species
GAUGAACGCUGGCGGCGUGCCUAAUACAUGCAAGUCGAGCGAACGGACGAGAAGCUUGCUUUUCUGAUGUUGGCGGCGGACGGGUGAGUAACACGUGGAUAACCUACCUAUAAGACUGGGAUAACUUCGGGAAACCGGAGCUAAUACCGGAUAAUAUUUUGAACCGCAUGGUUCAAAAGUGAAAGACGGUCUUGCUGUCACUUAUAGAUGGAUCCGCGCUGCAUUAGCUAGUUGGUAAGGUAACGGCUUACCAAGGCAACGAUGCAUAGCCGACCUGAGAGGGUGAUCGGCCACACUGGAACUGAGACACGGUCCAGACUCCUACGGGAGGCAGCAGUAGGGAAUCUUCCGCAAUGGGCGAAAGCCUGACGGAGCAACGCCGCGUGAGUGAUGAAGGUCUUCGGAUCGUAAAACUCUGUUAUUAGGGAAGAACAUAUGUGUAAGUAACUGUGCACAUCUUGACGGUACCUAGUCAGAAAGCCACGGCUAACUACGUG